CUUCUAUUACGGGUAUUGGUUUAGCCGCUCGCGCGCCUGACUUAUACCCAGGCGCGCCCGCUACGGGACGCCUGCCGAAACACGAAAACCCCGGUCGGUAUCCCGCCCGGGGU
rnacentral:sRNA from 1 species